UAAUACGGAGGGUGCAAGCGUUAAUCGGAAUUACUGGGCGUAAAGAGUACGUAGGCGGUUUAUUAAGUCAGAUGUGAAAGCCCAGGGCUCAACCUUGGAACUGCAUUUGAAACUGAUAGACUAGAGUAUGGUAGAGGGGGGUAGAAUUUCUGGUGUAGCGGUGAAAUGCGUAGAUAUCAGAAGGAAUACCAGUGGCGAGGGCGGCCCCCUGGCCCAAUACUGACGCUGAGGUACGAAAGCGUGGGGAGCGAACGGGAUUAGAUACCCCGGUAGUCCACGCCGUAAACGAUGUCAACUAGCCGUUGGGACCUUGAGGUCUCAGUGGUGCAGCUAACGCGUGAAGUUGACCGCCUGGGGAGUACGGCCGCAAGGCUA
rnacentral:rRNA from 1 species